rnacentral:lncRNA from 1 species
UAAGUUUCAUUCAGGUUGGAAGUGAAAGCCCAACAAUAUGUCCCCGUUACAACAACAAUGCAAUGUCCUGAAAGCUCGACACCGAUUCUGUUGGACCCGCAACACAAAGAUCAGGCUAGGCAUUGGAAAUCACUCGCCCCCUUGAUUACCCAGCUACAUUACGGUUCUCGGGAAGUCAAUCAACAGUAAUAAUGCCACAACUAGUACGUACUGCAUUUAAGCCCCGAGUGGACUUAUUACCUGCUUCUUCAAGAACUCUGGGCUCUUGUGGACGCCCUUCAUCAUGUCCACGAACUCCAGCUUGUAGUCAUUAACAUUCAAUUCCGCGAGUGUCGUGAGGGUUCGCUGGGUACAGGUCGAGAACCCAGCGCCAUGAACAAUAAUCGCCAUAGUAGACCUAGGUAGAGAUAGACAGCAGAAGCACUCGAUUCCCAAAACAAAAAGCCGAGAAACCUAUCGAGUUCACAGUUUGUAACAGUGGAUGCGAUUGAGAUGGUUGAG